rnacentral:sRNA from 1 species
UUGAUAGCCCUCGGAGACUGAUGUUCUCUAUUUAUCUAGAGAACAAGUAGAGCAGAGUCAGUGCUAGCAACACACAGCACGUGUACCUCCUUUCCUUGCCAUCAUUGAACCUCAGCACUGCCCCAUAGGACUCGUCUCCAAGCCAGUUCAGUCCUUACGUCUUU